CGUAGGGGGCAAGCGUUGUCCGGAUUCAUUGGGCGUAAAGAGCUCGUAGGCGGUUCAGUAAGUCGGGUGUGAAAGCUCCGAGCUCAACUCGGAGAGGCCACCCGAUACUGCUGUGACUUGAGUCCAGUAGAGGAGCGUGGAACUCCUGGUGUAGCGGUGGAAUGCGCAGAUAUCAGGAAGAACACCUGCAGCGAAGGCGGCGCUCUGGGCUGGAACUGACGCUGAGGAGCGAAAGCGUGGGUAGCAA
rnacentral:rRNA from 1 species